rnacentral:rRNA from 1 species
CAGUCGCCGCGGUAAUACGUAGGUGGCAAGCGUUGUCCGGAAUUAUUGGGCGUAAAGGGCUCGCAGGCGGUUUCUUAAGUCUGAUGUGAAAGCCCCCGGCUCAACCGGGGAGGGUCACUGGAAACUGGGAAACUUGAGUGCAGAAGAGGAGAGUGGAAUUCCACGUGUAGCGGUGAAAUGCGUAGAGAUGUGGAGGAACACCAGUGGCGAAGGCGACUCUCUGGUCUGUAACUGACGCUGAGGAGCGAAAGCGUGGGGAGCGAACAGGAUUAGAUACCCCCGUAGUCCCUGUCUCUUAUAA